rnacentral:lncRNA from 1 species
UCAGAAUGAGAAUUCAUUAUGCCAUUAUUUUACAGGAUACACUGGAUUAAUAACAUCAUUGGCCUUAGCAAUCAUCCGGUCUUCCUAUGAACUACGAAACUUGAGAUGCCUUAGAUUACAAUUAAUCAUUACUUGGUCACUACCAAAUAGAAUCCAAGGCUGAAGCAGCUUGCCUGGAUUCUUCAUUUUUAUUCCAUGCAAGCAUUCACUGAUGGCUGUACCAUUGGGUAAACUAUCUCAGCUGGUAAAACAAAGAGACUCACAAUGCCAGUAGAUCUUAUUCUUCUCCUACGUGUCUGUCCAGAAGUAGGCAGUGCAAGGAAUGAGAUAAGGCAAAACACUCCAGUUAAUGGAACACAAGCUACUAAUUUCCUGAAGACGACAAAGGGAGGGGAGUGCAUCGCUCCGACGUGGGAUGACCAGUUUUCUUUAAUCUCCAUGCUGACAAAGAGAUGCUGUGUCAAAGGAGAAAGUGAUCGGAGAGGCAGCCUUAGAUCAAAACCGAGAAUAAAGAAGAGCUAAACAAUGGCUCUUAUCAGUUCCAAAGGGUGUGCGCCUACAUUUUAAUCAUUUGUGAAUAGCGCUUCCUCCAUGGUAUUUUUUCCUGGCUCCCGAAAAAGCAGUGCCUCUCUUCCAAAUGCAAGAACAUGGAAUUAUCGUCACAAUCUCACCUUAUUUGCAUGAGAAUGUGGAAGACCCACAAGAACACUCGCUGUUUGGAAAUGAA